AUUUUUUAGCAGCAGUUGAGUGCGAAGGAGUUAAGAUCCUUACACGUUAGGAACUCCUAAAGAAUUCCC
rnacentral:tRNA from 1 species